AGUUUGAUCCUGGCUCAGGAUGAACGCUAGCGACAGGCCUAACACAUGCAAGUCGAGGGGUAACAUUUCAGCUUGCUGAAGAUGACGACCGGCGCACGGGUGAGUAACGCGUAUGCAACCUACCUUGUACAGGGGGAUAGCCCGGAGAAAUCCGGAUUAAUACCGCAUAAUAUGAUUGAUUCGCAUGGAUUAAUUAUUAAACUUUCGGGGGUACAAGAUGGGCAUGCGUAGCAUUAGUUAGUUGGUAAGGUAACGGCUUACCAAGACGAUGAUGCUUAGGGGGUCUGAGAGGAUAGUCCCCCACAUUGGUACUGAGACACGGACCAGACUCCUACGGGAGGCAGCAGUGAGGAAUAUUGGUCAAUGGGCGCAAGCCUGAACCAGCCAUGUCGCGUGCAGGAUGACGGCCCUAUGGGUUGUAAACUGCUUUUUUACGGGAAUAAUUGUCUCUACGUGUAGGGAUUUGAAGGUACCGUAUGAAUAAGGAUCGGCUAACUCCGUGCCAGCAGCCGCGGUAAUACGGAGGAUUCGAGCGUUAUCCGGAUUUAUUGGGUUUAAAGGGUCCGUAGGCGGGCAAUUAAGUCAGUGGUGAAAUCCCAGAGCUCAACUCUGGAACUGCCAUUGAUACUGGUUGUCUUGAAUUUAGUUGAGGUGGGCGGAAUACGUUAUGUAGCGGUGAAAUGCAUAGAUAUAACGUAGAACACCGAUUGCGAAAGGCAG
rnacentral:rRNA from 1 species